ensembl:lncRNA
AGAGACGCUCUAAGUCAGCCGUUUCUGCUUUAGAUGGAGGCUGUGCAGCUGCUGUUUUCUGUCUGCAGCAGGAAGGUUGGUGGCAAUGGGUAAAUUCACCCCAGCGCUUCCUAGCAGUGAUGCUCUCGCUCUGUUGACUUCAGUGCAGUUGACCUCAGCAGCCUGAGUUUUACCUGGAAGCCUGAACAAGUAUGGGAACAAAUAGCUUUGGGCUUUUCCAGCUUAAAAUGAAAAUGAAUAAAGGGAAUAAGAAGAAUUUCCUUUCUUCUACUGAAAAUAUUAAUACUGCAAUAGGAAGACAGAAGGCAUUUUUUUUUAGUCUACAUAAAGCAUGUGAACGUUUGGAAAGUUCUGCAGUUUGUGAAACACUUGUUAUUAUGGCACAGAUGAUACUGAAGAAAGAAAGCUCUGCAGCAUAGAAAGUGGUGUCAAUAGGUAUGUGAAUUACAGGAUGGGAGGAGAGCUGGUGGUAAGAGGUUCAGAAACCUGAUGCUUUACAGUAACUUUGACUUCCUCUAUACAAAUUUUAGCUGUUUUGAAGCGCUCAGAUUAAAAAAAAAAUAAAGGGAUGAACUUUCCUCCUCCCCAGAUAUUAUCUGAUUGGUUUGUAACCAACAAACCUGAAGGCUUGUGUGAAAAUGAACUUUAUUCUCUGGCUUGAUAUGUCAUGUUGGCUUUGGUCUCACAAAUCUUCAUAACAUCCUAACAGGUUCUUUGACAGACAAAUGUGUUUAUUGUAGAAAACUACUUUGAAAAACAAUUUUGCAAGGGAAACUUUCACAGUUCUCUGUAGGAACAUAAUUUAAGUGUAUUAGAACCCUAUCAGCAUCUGAGGGUGGAAGAUAAUUUAGCUCCUUGCCUUCCAGCAGCUUGGUCAAGCUCUCAAGGAGCACUGUGUGGGAAAGUGGAGAGGCCUGAGGAGGCUCUAUGUCCACCUGUGAAAUCACAAACAGUUAUAAAUGCUUUCAGGCCUGUGGUUUUCAGUAAUAUUACUAAAUCAUAAUCUCUGUCACGGAAACCUUAAAGUGGCAGGCGUUGACAUAUGAGCAAAGAUAAGUCUGAGUAUUAGGAAACAGUUGGAAGAUGUGUUUGCAUUUACUGCCAUGAUCACAUAAAUUCCUAGUGCUCAGUUUUAAUAGAAGGUGAGUGGCGAUAGUCUCUGCACUUGAGGAAACUUUCACACAGAAAAGAAUAUUUCAAAACAGAAAUGUUUGAAAUUCUUGAAGAACUGAAUGACUUGGAGGGGAAAGGCAGAGUCACUCUGUAGCAUUAUAAACUAAAACCUUUGCCUUAAAAACAGGAAGAACUGGUAACAGUUUCAGCAUGGAGCUAGCCUGGGAAUUGAUGCUGACUUUGAAGAUCAUGUAAACUUAUCUUUCCCUGUCCCUACAAAGUGAUUAUUAUAUUGUUCUGUUAUCUUAGUCAUAUGCUAGGAUUAAGAGACUAGCUUUCAAAGACUUCUCUUUUUUUGUUUAGCUUCACAGUCUGUGGUAUGUUGAUCUUCCUCUGCGCUCUGUGUAUUAUUGUUCAAGGUGUCAUUAUUGAUAAAUUAAUGGUAUCAGAAAUAUAUUAAUGGAAAUUUAGUAAAGUACUGAGAAUAUUUUUAUCUUGAAAUACCAUUUAAAGUAGACUGGAAAUAUAAAUAUUUUUCUGUUAAAAAAACAUCAAAAGAGCAAAUUGAAGUUUAAGGGGAAAAAAUGAAAACCAUAAUAUAAGUUACUGGGGAGUUUGUUUCUAAGAAUUAAGUGCAUCCAAAUCUUUGUGCACAAUUUUGCAAGCACUUGGUGUGCUGCUUUCAGUUAUAGCUCUGCAUGCAAAUUCAUAAACUCUAAAUAUUAACAGAAAGUUACUGAUUGAUACCCACCCUCAGAAUUCACCAUCCAAGUGUUCAUGAGAAACAGUAUCACUUUGGCUUGGUUAUCUCAGAGGUAACUUGAUAAUUAUACAGUGAGUGAUAUGGAAAUGCUAAUGUAAUAUUAUUUUCAUCUAUGUUGAUGUUUGUGGUUACAGAACCUUCAGUUUUCAUAGAGUUCAUGUGUUGGGUAUUAUAUAUAGAAAAAUGGAUUUUUAUACUUGUACUCUGCAAAUAGGCAGAAUGAUUUUAAGAAAUAUGAAGCAUCCAGCUAAUAUAAUGAAUUGAGUGGGAACUUAAGAUUAUUCAUAGUAUAGAAUUAUUUAGGGUAGUUUUAAAAAUGAAUCUGAUAUUAAAUAAAUGAAAAAUUUUCCUUUCCAAUUGUUAAAGGAGAUAAAUGAAAAUAUUUGGUAGAUAUUGGGUAACUUCUUACUGUUCUUAUGAUUUUGAAAAGUGUUACCAGACUACAAUAUAGAAUGUGUUAUUGUGUAUAGGCUGAAUGAUACCGUUGUGUAGUAGUGGGAAGAUAUUGCUCUGAAAUCUACCAAAAUACCAGAUAUACGCUGUGUGAUUUUGUUUGUUUGUUUGUUUGUGCCAGUUCUUACUGGUAGCUAUGGGUCAGGGAAGAAUCCACAACGGGAUUAUAAUUGUUGAUGUGUAGACGUGGUUGUGUGUGCAUGUGCACACGUUGGUGAAAAGCUCUGGCAGUCCUACGUCUUGCUCUGAUAAUAAUUUGAGGUCUCUCUCCCUUUCCCCAAAGCAUUCUGGGGCUAAGCUCAGAAAUAAUGAGAAAUAUAAAAUGUGAGAUGCAGAAGAAUUUCUGCACGAACCAGAAGGGGACUUUAUUUUUAAAGUAAAACAAAAAAUAAGAUGCAACUUUGAAUUGCCUGAGUAGACACGACUGUUUAUCUGCAUCUUUUCACAGAAUCAUAGAAUGGUUUGGGUUGGAAGGGACCUUUAAGAUCAUCUAGAUCCAACUGCCCUGCUGUAAGAAGGGAAACCUCCCUUUAGACCAGGUUGCUCAGAGCCCAUCCAGCCUGGACUUGAAUGCUUCCCGGAAAGGGGCAUUACUUUAUCUUUUCUGGACUACUCUUCAUGAAACAGUUUUAAUAUGUUCACAAAGUUGAUUUGAAGCAUGCAGCAAUAAGAGGCCACAACUUGGGGAACUAUUAGCUAAUGAUAGCAUGGAAUGUGUAGGAUCCCGUUUGAUAUGACUAGAAGUAAAAUUGGUGAGGCUUUUUAAUCUAGAUGGUUCCAUGUGGAAUGAAGUGUGUGUAUACACUUUGCAUGUGCCUUUAUAUACACAUAUAUGGGUAUAUGGUUGCACGCAUGUGCCUUUAUAUACAUACAGAUGGAUAUAUAAAUGUCAGCAACAGUGUGAAAAAUUGAAUGUUGCUCAAAUACAGCAUAAUAGAUCUUUAGUGUUUAUUGGGUGCAUUUUAAAUGCAGUUUUUCUUUCCAUAUGGACUGUGUUUUCAAUCUCCAUUCUGCCCUUCACCUCACUGCGGUAGUCAUUUUCUUUGUGCAGAAGACCAGCAGGAGGUCUCUAAAAUGCCUUUUUUCAGUAAGAUUUACAGGGUUUGGCCUAUAGCUUCAGUGUAGGUGAAAGAAAUAGUUGAUUUCUUUGAGAAAACAGUGAAAAUCAGGAAUAUUUUGUUCAAUACUACAGCAGUGUUUGCAGCAAUUGCCUUGUACCGUUUGCAAGUCUUUCCACUUCAUUUGAAUACAUUCACUUCAGGAAAAAAUCCCUUAUAGCUGUCAGAUGGGGCUUUUUGAAGGAGGUGUUCAUUUGAAGGUUUAUGGUUCUCUUAAACACACAUUUUUUUCUUCAAAGUAAAUGUUGUAAUCUCCCUGUCAUAAAUCCUCCUUGCUAGGAAUUCUGCUUGAAGAACCAUUUGAAUUUCAGUAAUCAGGUGUUUCAAGCAAAUACAUCUAAUGUCUCAAAAAAUUCUUAUAGUCAGCCAGUGGAGCCAAAUAAGAAAGCAAAGCUCUCAUAGUUUGAAAUCUAUUCCUAGCAACCCGUUCCAGAAGGAAAAAAA